rnacentral:rRNA from 1 species
AGCAGCCGCGGUAAUUCCAGCUCCAAUAGCGUAUAUUAAAGUUGUUGCAGUUAAAAAGCUCGUAGUUGAAUUUCGGGGUCAGUAGAUUGGUCGUGCCACUGGUAUGUACUGGUCUCACUGGCUCCUCCUUCCUGAUGAACCGUAAUGCCAUUAAUUUGGUGUUGCGGGGAGACUGGACUGUUACUUUGAAAAAAUUAGAGUGUUUAAAGCAGGCUAACGCUUGAAUACAUUAGCAUGGAAUAAUGAAAUAGGACGUUCGAUCUUAUUUUGUUGGUUUCUAAGAUUGACGUAAUGAUUAAUAGGGAUAGUUGGGGGCAUUAGUAUUCAAUUGUCAGAGGUGAAAUUCUUGGAUUGAU